AAAAUAACAAUGAUUCCCUUAGUAACGGCGAGUGAAGGGGGAAGAGCUCAAAGUGGAAAUCGGAGAUACUUGAAUGGAUCUUCGAAUUGUAGCCUCGAGAAGCGUUACCAGUGGAGGCGUAGGGUGAAGUUUCUUGGAAGAGAACAUCAAAGAGGGUGAGAGUCCCGUAAGUGCCCUAUGUUGUUAAGACGGUUCCACGAACGGUACGUUUUUAUAGAGUCGCGUUCAUCGGGAUUUGAGCGCAAAAUGUGUGGUAAGUUUCACAUAAAGCUAAAUAGAGGCGCGAGACCGAUAGCAAACAAGUACCGUGAGGGAAAGAUGAAAAGUUCUUUGGAAAGAGAGUUAAAAGUGCCUGAAAUUGCUGAAAAGGAAGCGAUUGGAACCUAGAGGAAUCCAAUAUGUAAACAUCUUGGGACAUCGAACCCUGCAAGCGUUGUGUCUCCACUCUGUAAAAAGAGGGAAGCUUGUAGGAAUAGUGUGAAUAACACUUAUGAAGGCAAUAGAUGUUGAAGAUGAGGAUCAUAUUGGAGAGGUCAGCAUGAGUUGGAUAAGAAAGAUUCAGUAAUGCAGAAGGUAGGUUCCA
rnacentral:rRNA from 1 species